UUGGAGGGCAAGUCUGGUGCCAGCAGCCGCGGUAAUUCCAGCUCCAAUAGCGUAUAUUAAAGUUGUUGCAGUUAAAAAGCUCGUAGUUGAAUUUCGAGAUCAGUACGCUGGUCGUGCCUUCGGUAUGCACUGGUGUCACUGGUUUCUCCCUUCUGAAGAACCGUCAUGUCAUUAAGUUGGUGUGGCGGGGAAUCAGGACUGUUACUUUGAAAAAAUUAGAGUGUUUAAAGCAGGCUCGCGCUUGAAUACAUUAGCAUGGAAUAAUGAAAUAGGACGUUUGACCCUAUUUUGUUGGUUUCUAGGAUCGACGUAAUGAUUAAUAGGGAUAGUUGGGGGGCAUUAGUAUUCAAUUGUCAGAGGUGAAAUUCUUGGAUUUAUUGAAGACUAACUACUGCGAAAGCAUUUGCCAAGGAUGUUUUCAUUAAUCAAGAACGAAAGUUAGGGGAUCGAAGACGAUCAGAUACCGUCGUAGUCUUAACCAUAAACUAUGCCGACUAGGGAUCGGAUGAUGUUAAUUUUAAUGACUCAUUC
rnacentral:rRNA from 1 species